ncrna:unclassified sequences DTF805b RNA
ACGGCAGAAUCCGAAAAGCCAAUUAAUAAAAGAGUAGGAA